rnacentral:lncRNA from 1 species
UUCUCUUCCUGUAUUCGGCCUGUUAUCUUUGUCGUUCCAUUUGUAGACGAUUACUCCAGAUUCAUCGCUCCAUUCUCCAUCGAUUCCUUGGUGGGGUGGUGCCAGGGAAAAUAGUCCUUUAUCUCCUGAGAUCAUCAAAUGCAAAUGUUCAUAUGGAUAUAUGAGGACCAAGAACGAAUAGUCGCAGAAGAAAUUAUACGAAUAGAAGCUAGAAUGUCAAAUGAUUCACUCAGUAAUCUCGCAUCAAUCUCAGACAACUGAAUUCAUUAGCUGUGAUAACUACUUACAUAGCUCCAGAGUCCAGCCCAAAACAGAACACAAAUCGUGGCAAUUCAAUGUCAAAAUGUACCGCGGACUACCCUUGGAAACUCCCAUCGUCACAGCCCAAGAACAUGGCACGUAUUUUCCACUUUGUCAAACUUAACAAUUUGUCCUUUGAGCUAUACCACCUUCGAACCUAAUAAGUGUGUACCAUCAACCGUGUUAACUUGUUAGCUAUAACCCCCUUGACGGAGGGCGGAUCAAGAAGGACUGACUGAUUAGGCAAAGCAAAUCCCACAUCGAAAUGGAAUAAAAAAAGUGAAGAGUUUUAUAACACAUAGCUCCACUUCAAAUGGCAUGCAAGCUUUUGAAGCUCAACGCGGUGUAGCCCGAAAGACAAUUCUAUGCUUGGGCCUAAGCCCAAAGCGGACAAUACAUGUCACUCAUGGACAUGAGUCGUGAACGCUAGCCUAUGUCCAAAAGUGUGUAUUUAUAUACCUCUUCUUCAAAACCUUGCUAGCUUAGAAGUCUGUCAAUCCUUAUUUUUUGCCUAUCUUAAUACUAGGAGUACUAGUCUACAACAAUUUCUUGUCUCCAAUAAAUAGUCAAAUCAUGUGAGGUAAAAGAUAAAACAAAGAACAUGUGUAGUUUAAUGGUCAAUAACAUGGGUAAGUCUCAAGUCAAUUCUUUGGACAAAGUUAAUUGUUACAAUGUUGUUGGUGUCAAAUAUACCGUGAAAUUAGUUGAGGUGUGCAAAAAUUGAUCUGGACACCACAAUUAUCAAAUAUGUAAAUAAAUAAAACAAAGGGAAGCAAAAACAAAAUAAAAAAAUCAAGAAUUGGGAAAGGAUGUACCAUUUGUGUGGCCAUGGAAAGAGCAUGCAAUGGGGGAAUUAUCUUUGUCUUCAUAAAAAGUAUUGCACCUCAAGCAUUUCUUCUUAUAAUUUUGGGCAUUCACAAUUUGUAAUCUUCUAAAUCCUUUGGAAAUUUUUUUUCUCCAACA